AUUUAUUCAGCAACCAGCAACCAUUUAGAGAGUGCCUAGUGUGUGUUAAGAACUGUGCUAAGGCUGGGACCGGGAAGUGCGUGUGUGAAUUGACCAUUCCGUGCAUUGCCAUAGUGAAGGUGCGGACGGAGUGCCACGGGCCAGAGAAGAAGGUACAGUGAAGACUCCACGAAAGACCCGAUCUGUUUUCUGCCUAUAGGUAACCACACUUCAACUGUUAACUUUCUGGCUCAGUACUUAGUUGUGCUUGGCAACCAAUACUGCCAGAGGAAGAAGCUAAGAAUUAUGGAUACAGCAGUGAAGUGGUCAGGAAUGGUCCCACCCUGCCCUCACCAAGCUCAUAGCCUAUUGAUUGAAGAAGCCAGACACUGAACAGGUGAUUACAAGCACAGGGUAUUAUUCACUGGAUAUGAAGAUCUGAAGUCAUUAAAAGCAACCCGGUGUUAUGUGCUCACCUCUUUAAGGUUUUGAUCCCUCCUAACCAUGUUUGCUUGGCCAUUUUUGGCUUGAAGAUUGGUUCCCUUUAUAGCACAGAGAGGAGAAUUUGGAGUUAAGUGAUUUCAUUUUGUCUCUCUCCUUUAUUAAAUCUUUUCCCCCAGAUACUUGGGCCUAUAUUUUACUUUAUUAUUAUAUUCUCAGAAUAUAGUUUAAAAGCAGUUAGUUUCCCCUCCUCACCCCACCUUACCCAAGCCUCGGGUAUCACGGAUAAAAAUUGGGGGAGUUGGGGACAAGUGCUUGUUGGGGGUUGAGGAAGUGCUGAGUAUGAAGUGAGUGAUUGUGAAGUGAGUGGCAUCUAUGUGUGCACAGCUGGAAGUAAAGGCAGGGGGAUGAGAGGUUUGGAUUGGUUAUGGAGAUGUGAAUUUUUCCACAUGGAGAUGAGUAUAGAUUAUCUGUCCAUGGAAGUGGGAGAAAAGAGAGUCACAUGGAAGGCCAAGAACUAAGUCAUGAAGGAUUGGCACAGUCAGAAGCGGGGAGAAGUUUCAACCAAAGAAACUGAAAUUCAUAGAAUAGGAAGAAAGCUUAGAAAUGAUCUAGCCCACCUCUCUCGUGUAACUGAUGAGGAAAUGGUUGUCCAGAUAAAAAAGAAUCAGUCAGUGGAAUAGCGACAAAUGUAUAGAGUUGUAUAAGUCCUGAGAGGGUGGGAAAGUGGUUUUCAAGAAAUAGGAGAUGGUCCACAGGGCCAAAUGGUACAGAGGAAUUGAAGAAUGAGAGGGCACUAAGGAUGGGCCUCAAAAUUGAUUAAAUGAUGCUUUGGUCUUCCAGAGUACAGUUUUGAUAAAGCAAAAAAAAAAAAAAAAAAGGAAGCCAGAUUGCAAGGGUAAGUAUCAGGGAAAAGGGUGGGUUUGAGUGUGAAAGAGACAAGGAGACAGAUAUAAUGAGUUAUAAUACACUCAGUAGGUUUGGCAGUACUAGGCAAGAGAAAUAAGAUGAUAGCUAGAAAUAAAGUUUAAGACAAUGGAAAUAUUACUACUUUAAGACAGAAAGGAAGGAACCAAUUGAGUGGGAGGGAUUGAGGAUGCAAGAGUACUCCUACCAUCCUUGGCAGGAAGAUCACAAGAAGCAGAAAAGGAACCAGAGCACAGGUGGAUGUAAGCUUUGGAAGAUACUGGAAAGUGAAAAGAAGAAGGUACCACAUGUGGUGAAGGAGGCAAAGCAAAAGGAAAGCCACAUCCCAGAGGACAGUUCAGAAUCAUCAAAUUAGAGGACCAAACCCCAUCCUUGACCACAUGAAAAACAAAACGAGGCCUGCCUCUGACUCAGACUGUUCACCGGGAAUGAAGGAUGCUGUGGAAUCAUAGGAGCACGGAUUCUCAGGGCCCAGGUGGAACUUUCAGAGUUUUGAUGUCCUUGCUGUUCUUUUAAACUGUCUACAUGCAACUAUUAAAGGGGUGCCAGCACAGAGCAAUGCCUGGCCCUGUCUACUAACAGCUAUUUCAUCCCACUGCGUACCAGACCAAGAGCUCUUGAGUAAGAUAAGCCAUGAGGCCCUCAGGAGGGUUUGGCAGGGCUCUGGAGGCCAGGACACUGCUGCCUUCGCAAGUGAGGACACCGGUGACGUCUACGAAUCAGCUGAGCCUACUAAAAACUCCUUUGAAGUAGGUCGUGGGGAGAACCCUCAUCCCGCACGCCCCUCCUUUUCAUGAGGAGGGAUCCACACUGGAGUAGCUCUCCGGGCCUCCUCCUGCCCGACCAACCACCUACUCCUCCCCCGGUGAGUUCUGAAGAAGAAACUGGGCAUGUGUGGCACAGCUCUACCUCUCUCUUCUCUUCGGGACCCGCCUGCCUACAGCAAAUGUUCUUCCUACUCUCAGCUGUGUGAUGAGUUUAGCAGAGCAAGCUCUCCUUGUUAGGGAAGCUUGCAGUUUGGGGGAAUUAAGUCCAUUUCAUUAAUAUGCCUGUUUGGCCCUCAAUACAUUCUCUAAAUGGGCUUUAAUCAGUAAUAAAGUUGCCUUUUAA